rnacentral:sRNA from 1 species
AUCGCUUCUCGGCCUUUUGGCUAAGAUCAAGUGUAAAGAACUAAUCUUCUUGGUUUUUCUCUAUCACAGAUUUAUUUUGUGUUGGGUAACUUCU